rnacentral:rRNA from 1 species
UACGUAGGGUGCGAGCGGUGUCCGGAAUUAUUGGGCGUAAAGGGCUCGUAGGCGGUCUGUCGCGUCGGGAGUGAAAACUCAGGGCUUAACCCUGAGCCUGCUUCCGAUACGGGCAGACUAGAGGUAUGCAGGGGAGAACGGAAUUCCUGGUGUAGCGGUGAAAUGCGCAGAUAUCAGGAGGAACACCGAUGGCGAAGGCAGGUCUCUGGGCAUUAACUGACGCUGAGGAGCGAAAGCAUGGGGAGCGAACAGG